AGAGAGAUGAACAUUAACGAAUGCUAC
rnacentral:sRNA from 1 species